rnacentral:tRNA from 1 species
AAAUGUGUAGCUCAGUUUGUUAUAGCUUUGGUUUUAAACUAAAAGGUAUCGGUUCAAUUCCCAUUGUGAGCA